GGGACACGUGGUAUCCUGUCUGAAUAUGGGGGGACCAUCCUCCAAGGCUAAAUACUCCUGACUGACCGAUAGUGAACCAGUACCGUGAGGGAAAGGCGAAAAGAACCCCGGCGAGGGGAGUGAAAAAGAACCUGAAACCGUGUACGUACAAGCAGUGGGAGCCCUGAUUUAUCAGGGUGACUGCGUACCUUUUGUAUAAUGGGUCAGCGACUUAUAUUCUGUAGCAAGGUUAACCGAAUAGGGGAGCCGGAGGGAAACCGAGUCUUAACUGGGCGUUAAGUUGCAGGGUAUAGACCCGAAACCCGGUGAUCUAGCCAUGGGCAGGUUGAAGGUUGGGUAACACUAACUGGAGGACCGAACCGACUAAUGUUGAAAAAUUAGCGGAUGACUUGUGGCUGGGGGUGAAAGGCCAAUCAAACCGGGAGAUAGCUGGUUCUCCCCGAAAGCUAUUUAGGUAGCGCCUCGUGAAUUCAUCUCCGGGGGUAGAGCACUGUUUCGGCAAGGGGGUCAUCCCGACUUACCAACCCGAUGCAAACUGCGAAUACCGGAGAAUGUUAUCACGGGAGACACACGGCGGGUGCUAACGUCCGUCGUGAAGAGGGAAACAACCCAGACCGCCAGCUAAGGUCCCAAAGUCAUGGUUAAGUGGGAAACGAUGUGGGAAGGCCCAGACAGCCAGGAUGUUGGCUUAGAAGCAGCCAUCAUUUAAAGAAAGCGUAAUAGCUCACUGGUCGAGUCGGCCUGCGCGGAAGAUGUAACGGGGCUAAACCAUGCACCGAAGCUGCGGCAGCGACGCUGAUGCGUUGUUGGGUAGGGGAGCGUUCUGUAAGCCUGUGAAGGUGUGCUGUGAGGUAUGCUGGAGGUAUCAGAAGUGCGAAUGCUGACAUAAGUAACGAUAAAGCGGGUGAAAA
rnacentral:rRNA from 1 species